GACGAACGCUGGCGGCGUGCUUAACACAUGCAAGUCGAACGAAGUGGCGCACGGGUGAGUAACGCGUAAUCAACCUGCCCUUCAGAGGGGGACAACAGUUGGCAACGACUGCUAAUACCGCAUACUGAAGGAGGGGAUUGUGUCUGAUUAGCUAGUUGGAGGGGUAACGGCCCACCAAGGCGAUGAUCAGUAGCCGGUCUGAGAGGAUGGACGGCCCAAGUGGGACUGAAACACGGCCCAGACUCCUAAGGGAAGCAGCAGUGGGGAAACUGCCGCAAUGGACGAAAGUCUGACGGAGCAACGCCGGGUGAGUGAUGACGGCCUUCGGGUUGGAAAGCUCUGUUAAUCGGGACGCGGUACCGGAAUAGAAAGCCACGGCUAACUACGUGCCAGCAGCCGCGGUAAUUC
rnacentral:rRNA from 1 species